rnacentral:tRNA from 1 species
GUUUAUAUAGUAUAAUUAGUACAAUUAAUUUCCAAUUAUUAGGUUUAAUAAAAUUAAUAUAAAUA